rnacentral:lncRNA from 1 species
GCCUCCUAGGAAACAUCUCCUAUUCUUCCUUUUGAAGCCAACCACCUGAUUCCUUUUGCGAUAUAUGUCCAGUAGCCUAAAACACACCUAAAGCCACUUUCAUCUACAAAAUGUCCUUCAACAAAGCGUAAUGAAAAAUAGGUAAUCACAAUGACCAUAUCUCCUUCAAGCCAAACCUACGUAGUUUUGAAACUGAAGAUAGCCACCAC